GGGGCCAUAACAAGAUUUCACUGUUAAAAGAUGUAAUUUUUGUAAUUUUAAGAUAUGGUGAGGACGUAAAAUCCGUUAAUAAAAUCGUUAACAUUUGUUUCAAGCUGCUUGAAAAGCAAUCUUGUCAGUGGCGGAUUCAGAGGGGGGCGUAGAAGGCGUACUUUGCUCGGACUUUUUUUUUAUUUUUUUGGUAAAAUGAUUAAUCAGACUAGACUUCGUGAACUUUGCCAUUUCCCGUGUUCUCUUUGUUUUAUUUUUAUGUGACAAUUCUUUAAUUAUAAAGAGUUUUUUCGCUGGAAUCUACUGAUUAUCAAAGUCAUGUGUCUGUGAUUCGCUAUGGUGGAGUUUACCAGUGCAUCGAAAAAACCGUCGUCAUUUUAAUAUGCAAAUUAUAGUAACACAUUGCUUUUGCUGAGGAUGACAAUCAUGACACCUUCAAAGCGACACAGGAUAGAGCUAGAACGUAUUGACUUCUAUUUCAUUAUUCCACCAAACAGAAAGUAAU
rnacentral:lncRNA from 1 species